AGCGAACGCUGGCGGCAGGCUUAACACAUGCAAGUCGAACGCCCGGGCAACCGGGAGUGGCAGACGGGUGAGUAACGCGUGGGAACGUGCCCUUUGGUUCGGAAUAACUCAGGGAAACUUGAGCUAAUACCGGAUAAGCCCUUACGGGGAAAGAUUUAUCGCCGAAGGAUCGGCCCGCGUCCGAUUAGCUAGUUGGUGUGGUAAUGGCGCACCAAGGCGACGAUCGGUAGCUGGUCUGAGAGGAUGAUCAGCCACACUGGGACUGAGACACGGCCCAGACUCCUACGGGAGGCAGCAGUGGGGAGUAUUGGACAAUGGGGGCAACCUUGAUCCAGCCAUGCCGCGUGAGUGAUGAAGGCCCUAGGGUUGUAAAGCUCUUUCGGCGGGGACGAUAAUGACGGUACCCGCAGAAGAAGCCCCGGCUAACUUCGUGCCAGCAGCCGCAGUAAUAC
rnacentral:rRNA from 1 species